rnacentral:tRNA from 1 species
GCUCAAUUAGCUCAGGAGGUAGAGCGCGUGCCUUUCAAGCCCGUGGUCGUGGGUUCGAGCCCCGCCCGAGAUGUA